CAGCUAUAUAAACUCGCAGUUCGUCAUUUGUUCGGUAUUAGCCGUGUGUUGACUUUGAAACUCGCUGAAGUGCCAUUUAUUCCUCUUGUUACCUUUGACGGAGACGCGUAGACAAAUAUGUCAGGCCAAACAUUGACAAGCAGCCCUCCUAAACUUCCGCCCUCCCCAACUGUCAGCAUCGGCCGAGAGCUACGCCACAUGGGUGACCAGCUCUACUGGACCUGCUGCCUCUUGAAGGCCCUGACCAAGGACCACAAGCCUCUGGACAAGUCUAGUGGUACCUGAUGAGGUGACAAGGGUUCCGCAGAGGAUGUACGGAGAAAAUGAUGAAAAAAAAAAUCUGUUGGAUGAGCUACCUCAGAGGUUGUGGAUGCGAGAAGCCUGAUUGGGAGGCUCAGCGGCGAAACGUGAUUCGCCAAAGCAGGAAUGGGCCAUCCGAGGACCAGUCUUCACCUGGUGAGAGGAUUUUCCAUCCAGAUCACCACAGAGGAACAUUAAAUAAUCCACAAAUGAUCAUCCAAUAUAUUCACAAUUUGCAAAAAAUAACAUUUGGGGUUGUAAGUUGUGCAGCUGUAUAACUAUAAAGAAAACUACUAGUUGGCACUCUGGGUGGUUUUUUUUUUUUUGCAAGUAUCUAUUUCUUAUCAAAGAAAGCACCAGAGCAAGAUGAGCUAAAUUCAGGCACUUAAAGAAUCCUUUACUUUAUUUUUAUGUGGUAAUACAAAAGCAUACAGAGGAAAGGAGAGAUCCCUUUUUUGUACAAUUCCGUAAGCUCGUACACAUAAAACGACUAAUAAUCAUUAGAAUUAUUACACAGAGGACGACGCUGUCUUCUUCUGGAGCUACAUCUGCCUGUUGCAUGCAAACAGCCCUUCCUGCCUUCUUUCACCUUUGGGUGUUGCUGUGCGGGAAUGGAAGAACCUAAAUGCCACCAAACAGAUGAAAAUCCUUUUUUGUUGUCUGCCCUGCACCAUAACAAAAACAAAACGAUGAGGUCCCUUAUGUUGAUCUUAACUUGAUUGGGCCUGUGUCUAGAGAUUACGGUUGAUUUAUGUAAAAAAAAAAAAAAAGAAAUUGACCAAGUACAAAAUAAAAGUACAAAUGUUAUCAUAAAGACGGUAAAUGAUCCAUUUUUUUAAAACACUGGGUCUGCUUGACCUUUUGCCGCUUUGUGGAAUGACUCACUUGUCAUCUGUAGCUGCGUAUAAAAUAUUUUACUUUUCCGUAUCACGGAGUGGGUUGAACCCCUCCCCAUAUUUUUGGGCAAGCUACAAAGCUGUGCAAAAAAA